rnacentral:rRNA from 1 species
AACGAACGCUGGCGGCAUGCCUAACACAUGCGAGUCGAACGAGAUCUUCGGGUCUAGUGGCGCACGGGUGCGUAACGCGUGGGAAUCUGCCCUUUGGUUCGGAAUAACAGUUGGAAACGACUGCUAAUACCGGAUGAUGACGAAAGUCCAAAGAUUUAUCGCCAGAGGAUGAGCCCGCGUAGGAUUAGCUAGUUGGUGUGGUAAAGGCGCACCACGGCGACGAUCCUUAGCUGGUCUGAGAGGAUGAUCAGCCACACUGGGACUGAGACACGGCCCAGACUGCUACGGGAGGCAGCAGUGGGGAAUAUUGGACAAUGGGCGAAAGCCUGAUCCAGCAAUGCCGCGUGAGGGAUGAAGGCCUUAGGGUUGUAAAGCUCUUUUACCCGGGAUGAUAAUGACAGUACCGGGAGAAUAAGCUCCGGCUAACUCCGUGCCAGCCGCCGCUGUAA